GACGAACGCUGGCGGCGUGCUUAACACAUGCCAGUCGAACGGAAAGGCCCUGCUCUUGUGGGGUGCUCGAGUGGCGAACGGGUGAGUAACACGUGAGUAACCUGCCCUUGACUUUGGGAUAACUUCAGGAAACUGGGGCUAAUACCGGAUAGGAGCUCCUGCUGCAUGGUGGGGGUUGGAAAGUUUCGGAGGUUGGGGAUGGACUCGCGGCUUAUCAGCUUGUUGGUGGGGUAGUGGCUUACCAAGGCUUUGACGGGUAGCCGGCCUGAGAGGGUGACCGGCCCCAUUGGGACUGAGAUACGGCCCAGACGCCUACGGGAGGCAGCAGUGGGGAAUAGUGCACAAUGGGCGGAAGCCUGAUGCAGCAACGCCGCGUGCGGGAUGACGGCCGUCGGGUUGUAAACCGCUUUCGCCUGUGACGAAGAGUGAGUGACGGUAAUGAGUAAAGAAGCACCGGCUAACUACGUG
rnacentral:rRNA from 1 species